CGAGGGGCCCGGCCCGGCCCGGCCGCACCGCUCCGCAGCCCCACCGCGGGGUGAGCUUUCCCUUUUCUUUCUUUUUUUUUUGUCUCUUUUUUUUCCCCCCCCCCAUCCCUCUCCCGGAGCCGAAGAACCGCAGUGCGGUUUGGAAGCAGAGGGAUCAGGACAGCCAAGGCAUUGACAUGGGCUCUGAAGAACCUGUUGGCUGAAAAUAAUCCAAUUUAUAUUUACUGCAAGUCUAGUGUUACAAUGAACUCAGUCCAUCAAAUUACUUCUCAUCUCCAGCAGGGUGCCUUUUCUCUUGGUUAGAGGGAAUAUGAAGGGCAAAAAGAUUUCCAAAGAAGGAGGGUCUGGUAAUUCUCAACAGUGCAAAUUAGUUCUCAGCAUCUUCAAGAUGGAAAAAACACAGUUCUGCUGGAACAGGGCAAAGGUACCCGCAAAUCUUCUCAGAAAGAAGGACCAUGUAAAAAUCUACUUGGGAGCUUCCAAGUCUGUGCAGAACAAACAGCUCAGAAACGUGCUCUUUUGGUCCAGAGUCACCUCCACCAUUCUAUACAUACAAAGGUCACUUGUGUGCCUAUUGCCACAAAAGCAGAUCCUUCUAAGCAGCCCACAGACUUAAAAAUAGUAUCUAUAGAAAGUCAGUACUGCAAAGCUUGCCAGACCUGUUCCAUUUUUUUUUGCAGCUUAAUACUGAAACACAGUGGAAACAGGUCAUAGGGUCUCUAAAGAAAGGCUCCCACCAAACAGCUAUUGAACACUAAGGACAACCAACCUCUGCUUUGAAAAACUUUUUGACUGCUUUCUUAUCCCCAAGCUGCAAUAGGAAAAUAAAAGUGGCAGAAAACUAGUGGCCUCACAGUAACACCACAGCAGGUACAGGGAUACAAAAAACCCACAACGUUCCUGUAUUUGUGAACAGAAUUAUUUCCACUCUCCAUCUCCCAGAUCACUUUUCAAUUUGUGACCCGAUGGUGCCCAGCUGCUAUUAACCACCUACCUGACAUAACAGCAAUAAAUGGCCUGGAAAAACAAGUGGCUUAACCCAUCUCUACUUCGAAGAGCUCAGUAAUGACUACUAAUUGCUCCUCCUCAUUCAAAGCUACUCAGUCUACAUGGAGCUACAGCAACUACAUGCACUGAAGCUCUGCAUAGAGUGAGAAAUAACCUUAAACAGCACCAGGGAAGGUUCAGGUUGGAUAUUAGGAACAAUGUCUUCUCAGAAGGAGUGGCGAUGCAUUGACACAGACUGCCUAGGGAUGAGGUGGAGUCACCGUUCCAGGAGAUGUUUGAGAACCAUGGGGCUGUGGGACUGAGGGACAUGGUCAGAAGACAUGGGGGGGACAGGUUGGGGCUGGACUGGUGGAUGAGGUCUUUUCCAAUUUUAAUGAUUUUAUGAUAAAACGAGAAAUGGCAGUAGAAUAAAG
rnacentral:lncRNA from 1 species